CACGGUGGUCUAGCGGUCAGAACGCUGGCCUUGUAAUCCUGGGGUCUCGGGUUCGAUUCCCGGCGGUG
rfam:Zootermopsis nevadensis contig12759, whole genome shotgun sequence.